rnacentral:rRNA from 1 species
UUCCUACGGGGGGCAGCAGUGAGGAAUAUUGGUCAAUGGGCGGGAGCCUGAACCAGCCAAGUCGCGUGAGGGAAGACGGUCCUACGGAUUGUAAACCUCUUUUGCCGGGGAGCAACGGGGUCCUUGCGAGGUCCCAAUGAGAGUACCCGGAGAAAAAGCAUCGGCUAACUCCGUGCCAGCAGCCGCGGUAAUACGGAGGAUGCGAGCGUUAUCCGGAUUUAUUGGGUUUAAAGGGUGCGCAGGCGGAUUUUUAAGUCAGCGGUCAAAUCGUGGGGCUCAACCCCAUCCAGCCGUUGAAACUGGGG